rnacentral:rRNA from 1 species
AUUGAACGCCGGCGGCAGGCCUAACACAUGCAAGUCGAGCGGGGUUUUCGGACCUAGCGGCGGACGGGUGAGUAAUGCGUAGGAAGCUGCCCGAUAGAGGGGGAUACCAGUUGGAAACGACUGUUAAUACCGCAUAAUGUCUACGGACCAAAGUGUGGGACCUUCGGGCCACAUGCUAUCGGAUGCGCCUACGUGGGAUUAGCUAGUUGGUGAGGUAAUGGCUCACCAAGGCGACGAUCUCUAGCUGGUUUGAGUGGAUGAUCAGCCACACUGGAACUGAGACACGGUCCAGACUCCUACGGGAGGCAGCAGUGGGGAAGAUUGGACAAUGGGCGCAAGCCUGAUCCAGCCAUGCCGCGUGUGUGAAGAAGGCCUUCGGGUUGUAAAGCACUUUCAGCGAGGAGGAAGGGGUGUGUGUUAAUAGUACACACCUUUGACGUUACUCGCAGAAGAAGCACUGGCUAACUCUGUGCCAGCAGCCGCGGUAACAC